rnacentral:rRNA from 1 species
AUGGUCCAUCAUAUAUCUGACGAGGCAGCAGAUGAACCUGGCAUCACCACACAGACACCCUCCAAUGACCCAUCUCAAGCACCGCUGGUGUACAAAGUGGGCUAUCCCCCUCCGAAGAACUUGGCCACGGAGUUUACAGAAACAUUGAGAGAGACUUUCUUCCACGACAACCCGCUGCGUCAGUACAAGGGCCAAUCCGGACCGAGGAGGUUCAUGAUGGGGCUGGAGUUCUUGUUUCCAAUAUUUGGGUGGGUCAGGGAUUACAGUCUCAGCAAGUUCAAAGGAGAUCUGAUUGCCGGGUUGACCAUCGCAAGCCUCUGCAUUCCUCAGGACAUUGGCUAUUCGAAGCUUGCUAAUUUGGACCCGCAGUAUGGGCUUUACUCCAGCUUCAUUCCCCCAUUGAUAUAUGCUGCAAUGGGUAGCUCAAGGGAUAUAGCGAUUGGUCCAGUUGCCGUGGUUUCUCUUUUGAUAGGUUCACUUCUACAAGCUGAGGUUGACCAUGUCAAAAACAAGGAGGAAUACAUGCGCCUCGCUUUCACGGCAACCUUCUUCGCUGGUAUCACUCAAGCAGCCUUGGGAUUUCUAAGGUUAGGGUUCCUUAUAGAGUUCUUGUCACAUGCUGCAAUUGUCGGAUUCAUGGGGGGAGCUGCCAUUACUAUUGCCCUGCAGCAGCUAAAAUACGUGUUGGGCAUCGCAAAUUUUACAAGGAAAACCGACAUAGUUUCUGUUAUGGAAUCUGUCUGGAGAUCAGUUCAUCAUGGGUGGAACUGGCAGACAAUUGUGAUUGGUGUAUCUUUCCUGGUUUUCCUUCUGUUUGCGAAGUAUAUCGGAAAGAAGAAUAGGAAGCUUUUCUGGGUGCCAGCUAUUGCUCCUAUAAUAUCAGUGAUUCUAGCAACAUUUUUUGUAUACAUUACUCGUGCCGACAAGCAAGGUGUUCAGAUAGUAAAGCACAUUGAACAGGGAAUCAACCCAUCAUCAGUACACAAGAUUUAUUUCACCGGUCCAUUUGUCGCAAAAGGCUUCAAGAUCGGUGUUGUUUGCGGCAUAGUUGGUUUGACAGAAGCUGUAGCUAUUGGAAGGACAUUUGCUGCUAUGAAGGACUACCAGCUAGAUGGAAACAAGGAGAUGGUAGCACUUGGAACCAUGAACAUAGUAGGAUCAAUGACAUCUUGCUAUGUCACAACAGGUUCUUUCUCACGUUCGGCAGUUAACUUCAUGGCUGGCUGCAAGACUCCUGUAUCCAAUGUGGUUAUGUCAGUGGUGGUUCUUCUUACCUUGUUGGUCAUCACACCGCUAUUCAAAUACACACCAAAUGCAAUCCUAGGGUCGAUCAUUAUUUCUGCGGUGAUCGGCCUUGUGGACUAUGAAGCAGCAAUUCUCAUCUGGAAAGUUGACAAAUUGGACUUCAUUGCUUGCAUGGGAGCAUUUUUCGGUGUUGUUUUUGUAUCCGUUGAGAUUGGCCUCUUGAUUGCUGUAGCAAUCUCAUUUGCCAAGAUACUUCUACAAGUAACAAGGCCAAGGACAGCCCUACUUGGGAACCUUCCCGGCACCACAAUAUACAGGAACAUCAGCCAGUAUCCAGAAGCAAAACUUACUCCCGGGGUGGUGAUUGUGAGGGUUGAUUCUGCUAUUUAUUUUUCCAACUCUAAUUAUGUCCGAGAAAGAAUUCUUAGGUGGCUGACAGACGAAGAAGACAGAGCUAAAGCACUGGGGUUGCCUAAAAUCAGUUCCUUGAUUGUGGAAAUGUCGCCGGUCAUCGACAUCGAUACAAGCGGCAUACAUGCUCUUGAAGAUCUGUACAAGAAUCUUCAGAAAAGAGAUAUGCAGCUCAUUCUGUCAAAUCCUGGUUCCGUCGUCAUAGAAAAAUUGCAAGCAUCGAAGCUCACCGAGCACAUUGGAAGCAGUCAUAUAUUCCUUGCAGUCUCUGACGCCGUGCGAUUCUGUACGACGAAGUCGAUGCAGGAACCGUGA